rnacentral:rRNA from 1 species
GGGUUGUGAGGUUAAGCGAACAAGCGUACACGGUGGAUGCCCUGGCAGUCAGAGGCGAUGAAGGACGUGCUAAUCUGCGAAAAGCGCCGGUAAGGUGAUAUGAACCGUUAUAACCGGCGAUGUCCGAAUGGGGAAACCCGGUGCACUUCGGUGCAUCAUCGUUAGCUGAAUACAUAGGCUAACGAGGCGAACCGGGGGAACUGAAACAUCUAAGUACCCCGAGGAAAAGAAAUCAACCGAGAUUCCCCCAGUAGCGGCGAGCGAACGGGGAACAGCCCAGAGCCUGAAUCAGCUUGUGUGUCAGUGGAACGGUCUGGAAAGGCCGGCGAUACAGGGUGACAGCCCCGUACACGAAGGCACACAGGCUGUGAGCUCGAUGAGUAGGGCGGGACACGUGAUAUCCUGUCUGAAGAUGGGGGGACCAUCCUCCAAGGCUAAAUACUCCUGACUGACCGAUAGUGAACCAGUACCGUGAGGGAAAGGCGAAAAGAACCCCGGCGAGGGGAGUGAAACAGAACCUGAAACCGUGUACGUACAAGCAGUGGGAGCCUUCGUAAGAGGGUGACUGCGUACCUUUUGUAUAAUGGGUCAGCGACUUAUAUUCUGUAGCAAGGUUAACCGUAUAGGGGAGCCGAAGGGAAACCGAGUCUUAACCGGGCGUUAAGUUGCAGGGUAUAGACCCGAAACCCGGUGAUCUAGCCAUGGGCAGGUUGAAGGUUGGGUAACACUAACUGGAGGACCGAACCGACUAAUGUUGAAAAAUUAGCGGAUGACCUGUGGCUGGGGGUGAAAGGCCAAUCAAACCGGGAGAUAGCUGGUUCUCCCCGAAAGCUAUUUAGGUAGCGCCUCGUGAACUCAUCUCCGGGGGUAGAGCACUGUUUCGGCUAGGGGGCCAUCCCGGCUUACCAACCCGAUGCAAACUGCGAAUACCGGAGAAUGUUAUCACGGGAGACACACGGCGGGUGCUAACGUCCGUCGUGAAGAGGGAAACAACCCAGACCGCCAGCUAAGGUCCCAAAGUCAUGGUUAAGUGGGAAACGAUGUGGGAAGGCCCAGACAGCCAGGAUGUUGGCUUAGAAGCAGCCAUCAUUUAAAGAAAGCGUAAUAGCUCACUGGUCGAGUCGGCCUGCGCGGAAGAUGUAACGGGGCUAAACCAUGCACCGAAGCUGCGGCAGCGACGCUUAUGCGUUGUUGGGUAGGGGAGCGUUCUGUAAGCCUGCGAAGGUGUGCUGUGAGGCAUGCUGGAGGUAUCAGAAGUGCGAAUGCUGACAUAAGUAACGAUAAAGCGGGUGAAAAGCCCGCUCGCCGGAAGACCAAGGGUUCCUGUCCAACGUUAAUCGGGGCAGGGUGAGUCGACCCCUAAGGCGAGGCCGAAAGGCGUAGUCGAUGGGAAACAGGUUAAUAUUCCUGUACUUGGUGUUACUGCGAAGGGGGGACGGAGAAGGCUAUGUCGGCCGGGCGACGGUUGUCCCGGUUUAAGCGUGUAGGCUGACUUUCCAGGCAAAUCCGGAAGGUUAAGGCUGAGGCGUGAUGACGAGGCACCACGGUGCUGAAGUGACAAAUGCCCUGCUUCCAGGAAAAGCCUCUAAGCAUCAGGUAACAUCAAAUCGUACCCCAAACCGACACAGGUGGUCAGGUAGAGAAUACCAAGGCGCUUGAGAGAACUCGGGUGAAGGAACUAGGCAAAAUGGUGCCGUAACUUCGGGAGAAGGCACGCUGACAUGUAGGUGAAGCCCCUGCGGGUGGAGCUGAAGUCAGUCGAAGAUACCAGCUGGCUGCAACUGUUUAUUAAAAACACAGCACUGUGCAAACACGAAAGUGGACGUAUACGGUGUGACGCCUGCCCGGUGCCGGAAGGUUAAUUGAUGGGGUUAUCGCAAGAGAAGCUCCUGAUCGAAGCCCCGGUAAACGGCGGCCGUAACUAUAACGGUCCUAAGGUAGCGAAAUUCCUUGUCGGGUAAGUUCCGACCUGCACGAAUGGCGUAAUGAUGGCCAGGCUGUCUCCACCCGAGACUCAGUGAAAUUGAACUCGCUGUGAAGAUGCAGUGUACCCGCGGCAAGACGGAAAGACCCCGUGAACCUUUACUACAGCUUGACACUGAACAUUGAGCCUUGAUGUGUAGGAUAGGUGGGAGGCUUUGAAGCGUGGACGCCAGUCUGCGUGGAGCCGACCUUGAAAUACCACCCUUUAAUGUUUGAUGUUCUAACCUGGCGCCGUGAUCCGGCGUGGGGACAGUGUCUGGUGGGUAGUUUGACUGGGGCGGUCUCCUCCCAAAGUGUAACGGAGGAGCACGAAGGUCAGCUAAUCCUGGUCGGACAUCAGGAGGUUAGUGCAAUGGCAUAAGCUGGCUUGACUGCGAGAGUGACGGCUCGAGCAGGUGCGAAAGCAGGUCAUAGUGAUCCGGUGGUUCUGUAUGGAAGGGCCAUCGCUCAACGGAUAAAAGGUACUCCGGGGAUAACAGGCUGAUACCGCCCAAGAGUUCAUAUCGACGGCGGUGUUUGGCACCUCGAUGUCGGCUCAUCACAUCCUGGGGCUGAAGUAGGUCCCAAGGGUAUGGCUGUUCGCCAUUUAAAGUGGUACGCGAGCUGGGUUUAGAACGUCGUGAGACAGUUCGGUCCCUAUCUGCCGUGGGCGCUGGAGAAUUGAGGGGGGCUGCUCCCAGUACGAGAGGACCGGAGUGGACGCAUCACUGGUGUUCGGGUUGUCAUGCCAAUGGCACUGCCCGGUAGCUAAAUGCGGAAGAGAUAAGUGCUGAAAGCAUCUAAGCACGAAACUUGCCCCGAGAUGAGUUCUCCCUGAGACUGUAAGUCUCCUGAAGGAACGUUGAAGACGACGACGUUGAUAGGCCGGGUGUGUAAGCGCAGCGAUGCGUUGAGCUAACCGGUACUAAUGAACCGUGAGGCUUAACCUUACAACGCCAAAGAAGU